ensembl:lncRNA novel transcript
GCCCCUGGCCACUGAGGCCUCCCCGUUCGCCUCCCAGAGGCCGCCACUUUCUUCAGGGCUAUCAGAUGAAGGCAGCAACGAAAACACCACCACAAGACCAACUUCAGGCUGGAGCUGAUGAUGCCACACAGCGAGAAAAAAGAAAAUAGACUCUACUUAGAAAUGAAACUCAACUAAAGGUAAAAGUUGUCAGGAACAUCUCCAAGAAAGCCAGAGUCAGCCUCUAAACUUUGCAUCAAGAACGCAAUGGCUUCCCUGAGGGCCCAGGGACGCGUGGCAGCUGUGAGGCAGCCCCUUCUCUGCUGUCGAGGAACUGGACACUUCUCCUGUCCCUUCCCACAAGAUAUAAAAGAUUCAGGACGUAGUGCUCGUGGUUGGGGUCGGGGACAUGGCAAGACAGGAGCGGAAGAGAGAGACGGAGAAGACGCAGGGGAACUGCAUCUGCCUCUGCUGCUCAGGAACAGCGUUGAGACCGGCGCAGGGACCAUGGGUGGGAGAGUCCUGAUGUACUCAAUGUAAAUACAAAUUGUGUUUCUUUUACAGUGAAAA